AAAAAAGAAGACAAAAAU
rnacentral:sRNA from 1 species